rnacentral:rRNA from 1 species
GCGUGGUGAUAGCACGUUGCAUCGGUUUCCAAUGGAUCACUGAAGAUAAGCAAAGUUGUGCAAGGUUAGUACUUGGAUGGGUGACCAGCUAGUCAAUUGUAUGCUGCUGGCU